rnacentral:rRNA from 1 species
AUAUAACUAGGCGGAGGAAAAGAAACUAACUAGGAUUCCCUCAGUAACGGCGAGUGAAGCGGGAAGAGCUCAGACUUUUAAUCUUCGGAAUUGUAGUCUGGAGAAGUCAGGUCAUUGGGGAAAUUCGGGCAAAGUCUCCUGGAACGGAGCGCCAAGGAGGGUGACAGCCCCGUUCAUGCCUGAAUGGAACCGAGUACGGCCGGCUUUCAACGAGUCGAGUUGUUUGGGAUUGCAGCUCUAAGUGGGUGGUAAAUUCCAUCUAAAGCUAAAUAUUGGCGAGAGACCGAUAGCGCACAAGUA